CUUGCUUCCUGUCCUGUUGUAUUUGGUCUCAUGAGUCUCUGUUUCAUCCUUCAUAUCCUCCCCAACUUCCUUUUGAUAGUCAGGGGUAUACUCCCAUUUCAUGCUCUGGUGGAUAAAUGAGAGGGCAAUAUCAGUCUUCUUUUGUGACUUUAUGAAACAACUUAUUUGCUGGUAUUUUACUCAAAACGGCAGUGGUAGUCAACUUUCUGUCCAUGGGUCAAACCAGUGAGACAUACAGUAUUGCUUUGGUAGUGAGUGACCUAAAAUAAUGAUAGUGAUUUCUCCUCGAAACUCAAAGUAUGCAUAAUUAACCAUACCGUGGUAUCGUCAGACAUGGGUGUGUAGCCUAUUGUAGCAGGCUAUUUGGAGGUAAUACUGAUAGUCCCUUUAAAAGCACAUGGGUGAAACGUCAACAGACGCAACUGAAGUGACAUGGACGUUAUCCUUGAAUUUUACCAAGACAUUGUUGAAUACUCGUUUCUGAUAGGCUUAAGCAGAGGGAUUCGUAAAAUACCGUAUACACAUUAUGUCACAAUUAGGCCUAAAUCUAUAGCAUAAAUCCAAUGGAUUUGCUAUAUUUAUAUGGUCUAAUGUCUAAACGCUUUGUCGACAAUAUCAGAAAACAGAUCAUAGCGAGUCAUUUAUGGUUCAUCAAGCAUCCUCAUCCUCUUCUUAGGCAUCAUCAUCACCAUCUGCACGUCAAUCACUCUAGUGUCUAAUUGGUAUAUUGUAAUUACUUCGCCACCAUGGCCUAUUUAUUGCCUUACCUCACUUUUCUUACCUCAUUUGCACACACUGUAUAUAUAUUUUCUUCAACUGUAUUAUUGACUGUAUGUUUGUUUUACUCCAUGUGUAACUCUGUGUUGUUGUAUGUGUCGAACUGCUUUGCUUUAUCUUGGCCAGGUCGCAGUUGUAAAUGAGAACUUGUUCUCAACUUGCCUACCUGGUUAAAUAAAGGUGAAAUAAAUAAAUACAUUUUUAAAAAUGCUCAAAAACGUAACUCGCUGCAACCCAUUAGCGAUAAUUCUGAUGCUGCAAAUCAGCAAAACUAACAUGUGCAAUAAAUUAUAAUCACUUGCACUUAAACUAGUUUAAAAUCAUUGAUGUUCUCUGGGGCUCGAACUAUUUCAGCACUGUUGAGCUGUCAAUGUCUGAGUUUGUAGGCGUUAGUGGACAGCGGCAUGGCCCUGAAAUGUUUCGAAUCUGGGCAGCACCUGAGACAGCGGCAUGGCCCUGAAAUGUUUUGAAUCUGGGCAGCACCUGAGACAGCGGCAUGGCCCUGAAAUGUUUUCGUUGACGAAGCAGUGGUGGCUUACAUCCCACUGGUCACACACUGGUUGAAUCAACGUUGUUUCCAAGUCAUUUAAAGGGAAUUAUCUGGAACCAACGUGAAAUAGACGUUGAAUUAACGUACGUGUCCAGUGGGAUAUACUUAUGUUUAAUCUUGCGUGCAAUGAUGCACGAAGCAGAAAAGCAGAAAAAAACUGUGUUCGUUGUUUGCAGUAACUUCUCUGCUGUUGUAAUAUCGGACGUGGUAGUUUCACCAUUAAGGAUUCCAGCUUUAAAAAUGCAGUAUAAAGUCUCCCCAGUUAUGGUAGAUUAAUUUAGCAAGACAUGGACAAAUCCAACACUGUUCUACCGAGUCCUUCUCAGCCUGAGAUUAGUGGUUACAGCCCUCAGCUCUCUAGAUAAGACCUGCUAAAGACACCAAGACACUAAAUACAGAGAGCAUUGAGAGACACAAGACACAUGUCACAG
rnacentral:lncRNA from 1 species